UGACUGGGGUCUGAUUUGUAUCACUUGUUGAUCUCUCCACCUUAAAUAGUCCCAUUAUGGCUGACUUCAUGCUACCAAUGUGGCAUCAUUUCUGAUCACUGGAGUUAAGAAGAGAUGUGCACAGUCAGCCCUACAGGCCAGCUGGAACUGGCUCCAGCAUAUUACUGAACAGUGGUUAGAAAUGUGAAGAUGAAUGUGGACACCUUCCAAUGUGAUUCAGAAAACGUACACUGUCUGAUU
rnacentral:lncRNA from 13 species